CCUCGGCUUGAAUGUAGGAUUCGUCUGGACUUUAAGUCUACCAAUGUUGGCGGACUUAACAUUGUCCACGAACCUCUUUUUUUCAGAGG
rnacentral:miRNA from 1 species